rnacentral:rRNA from 1 species
GAUGAACGCUAGCGACAGGCUUAACACAUGCAAGUCGAGGGGCAGCGAGGGAGUGCUUGCACUUCUGUCGGCGACCGGCGCACGGGUGAGUAACACGUAUGCAACCUGCCCUUGUCAGGGGGAUAAGCGAGGGAAACCUCGUCUAAUACCGCAUAUAUGAUUUAGAGGCAUCUUUUAAUCAGGAAAGAAUUAUCGGACAAGGAUGGGCAUGCGGGACAUUAGGUAGUUGGGGGUGUAACGGACCACCAAGCCGACGAUCAGUAGCCGGCCUGAGAGGGUGAUCGGCCACAUUGGGACUGAGACACGGCCCAAACUCCUACGGGAGGCAGCAGUGGGGAAUAUUGCACAAUGGGGGAAACCCUGAUGCAGCAACGCCGCGUGAAGGAUGACGUAUUUCGGUAUGUAAACUUCUAUCAGCAAGGAAGAUGAUGACGGUACUUGACUAAGAAGCCCCGGCUAACUACGUGCCAGCAG